AAAGAAAGAGGGAGGCAUGCCUAACACAUGCAAGUCGAACGAGACCUUCGGGUCUAGUGGCGCACGGGUGCGUAACGCGUGGGAACCUGCCCUUAGGUUCGGAAUAACUCCCCGAAAGGGGUGCUAAUACCGGAUAAUGUCUUCGGACCAAAGAUUUAUCGCCUUUGGAUGGGCCCGCGUUGGAUUAGCUAGUUGGUAGGGUAAAAGCCUACCAAGGCGACGAUCCAUAGCUGGUCUGAGAGGAUGAUCAGCCACACUGGGACUGAGACACGGCCCAGACUCCUACGGGAGGCAGCAGUAGGGAAUAUUGGACGAUGGGCGAAAGCCUGAUCCAGCAAUGCCGCGUGAGUGAUGAAGGCCUUAGGGUUGUAAAGCUCUUUUACCCGGGAUGAUAAUGACAGUACCGGGAGAAUAAGCUCCGGCUAACUCCGUG
rnacentral:rRNA from 1 species